AAUGAACGUUGGCGGCGUGGAUUAGGCAUGCAAGUCGCGCGAUAAGAGUAGCAAUACUCGGACAGCGGCGAAAGGGAGAGUAAUACAUAGGUACGUACCCUUGGGACUGGGAUAGCGGCGGGAAACUGCCGGUAAUACCAGAUGACGUUUCCGAACCAAAGGUGUGAAUCCGCCUGAGGAGCGGCCUAUGUCCUAUUAGCUUGUUGGU
rnacentral:rRNA from 1 species